rnacentral:ncRNA from 1 species
GAGAGCCGUGUGCAUUGAAAGGUGCAAGCACGGUUCGGGGGGGAGGCGCUGGGACGUCCUCGAAAGAAGCGUCUCGCGUCUGUCUACCCUAA